rnacentral:rRNA from 1 species
AGCAGCCGCGGUAAUUCCAGCUCCAAUAGCGUAUAUUAAAGUUGUUGCAGUUAAAAAGCUCGUAGUUGAAUUUCGGGAUCAGCAGGUUGGUCUUGCCACUGGUAUGUACUAGCUUGCUGAUUCCUCCUUCUUGUAGAACCGUAAUGCCAUUAAUUUGGUGUUGCGGGGAAACAGGACUGUUACUUUGAAAAAAUUAGAGUGUUUAAAGCAAGCUAACGCUUGAAUACAUUAGCAUGGAAUAAUGAAAUAGGACGUUUGAUCCUAUUUUGUUGGUUUCUAGGAUUGACGUAAUGAUUAAUAGGGAUAGUUGGGGGCAUUAGUAUUCAAUUGUCAGAGGUGAAAUUCUUGGAUUUAUUGAAGACUAACUACUGCGAAAGCAUUUGCCAAGGAUGUUUUCAUUAAUCAAGAACGAAAGUUAGGGGAUCGAAGACGAUCAGAUACCGUCGUAGUCUUAACCAUAAACUAUGGCGACUAGGGAUCGGAUGAUGUUAAUUUUUUAAUGACUCA